CACCUCUCCCCUCUUCCAUGCCACCCCCAGGCCAGGAGCCACCACAGCCCUGUCUGUGACUCUCAGCUCCCGAGGCUGGGCUCUUCCCCAGGGAAGCUGCAUGACCAUGGCCACAUACAGGAGGUAGGAGACAGAGGCCUCCACGGUGGACGAUCGUGGCGUGAAGUCCACGUUGACCACGUUGUCGGUGCUGGGGGAGCGGAUGAAGGCCAGGGACCCGCGGCGCUCUCCCUGUGGUCAGGAAGCAGCCCGGAGACCCUAAAACUCCAUUGGCCUCAUGUCCAGAACUGAAUCAGCCAGUGCCAGAGCCUGCUGCAGCCCCGACCCGGCAGAGCAAGCGGCUCUGCUACCUCAGCCACGUAGCUGAUGGCAUCCUUCAGGUUCAGCUCGUGGAAGACAUUCAGGAUCCGGUCUCGAGACUUCUGGGCCGACCGUCUCAUGAGGACCCUGCUGAGGAACUUCCUGUCGAAGUGGGACCACCUGUAGGGACAGACCUUGGGUUGACCCUGUAGGCGCGUUUAAAAUGAGGGAAGCAGCCCCUGCCACACGCCCAGGCCGUCCGCCGUUCUCCCGCCUGUCCUGUUGGAUGGAGGCCGUUAGACGCAUAUGAAACUGCAUGCCGCCUCCUCCAGAGGGUGGCUCAGGACACGCCUAACGGAAUUAGAGUAUUCGCUGGUUAUCCAGAUCAGAAGGGACGGUGGCCUGGCCGGACUUAGAGGAAACUCUGGGGCACAAGGAGGUGAUGCCUGUCACUUGGACAUGGGUGCAGCCGCCAGAGCCGCCCUCCAGGGCACAGGGUGGGCCCGGGUGAGCUUGUGUGCUCACACCUGGGCAGGCCCCGCGGCAGCAAUGGCAGCUCUCCUGUACAGGCUGAGUUUCAGCCACACCAAGAAGUCAAAGCUAACCGAGGCUGUGCCUUCCGAGACCCCCGGGAUGGCCCCUGGGAGGCCAAGGAGUCGGGGACUGGGUACCCGGAGCAGAGUCACUGUGGCCACGGAGAACCGCAGCUGAGCUUUAUGAAGCCACGUGGCCACACCUCCCGGUGCCUCCACCCCAAGCAAACACAGAUCGCUCAGAAAAUGGGAACCCAGG
rnacentral:lncRNA from 1 species